CCUCAGUAACGGCGAGCGAAGCGGGAAUUGCUCAAUUUAAAAUCUCCGGUGCUUGCACCGGCUAAUUGUAGUCUGGAGGGCCGGUUUCGCCCUAGACGGUGUCCCCCAAGUCGUCCUGGAAGGCGAGCCAAAGAGGGUGAGAGCCCCGUACGCGGGGGCCCCGUCGAAGGCAGAUCCGCGCCCGAAGAGUCAGGUUGUUUGAGAUUGCAGCCCAGAACGGGUGGUAAACUCCUCUACGCUAAAUAAUGGCACGAGACCGAUGCGAAAAAGUACCGUGAGGGAAAGAUGAAAAGCACUUUGAAAAGAGAGUCAAAUAGUACGUGAAACCGUCGGGAGGGAAACGAACGAGGUUGGUGCGGUGACCGUGCGGUUCAGUCGCGGCCGAAGGGAGCGGCGGCGAGCGUAGAUCGCUCCCGUUCGCGUCGAACGGAGGCCGAGACGUACUCCGCGCGGACACGGACCAGCGGCGGUCGGGCUCGGGGCAAACAAGGCGUCGUGGGAGGUAGGCCGGCUGCGGAUUCCGUCCGCUCUGGCAACGUACAGCCAAGACGAUCCGGCGCCCGGGCCUGGCCGAGGAAGGUGGGCAGCUCUUGCCCGUUGAGGUGCACGCCGUAUGGCGGGGCCUCCCCCCGAGAGCAAACCGUCCCUUCGGGACUGCGUGCAGUGCCGAUUGCGGCGGGGAACCCGUUCGGGGAAGAGUGCCACGUGUGCGCCAGUGCUGCUGGUAUUUGGACGGCCUCGUCCGACCCGUCUUGAAACACGGACCAAGGAGUGCAACAUGUGCGCGAGCCCUUUGGCGAGAAAACCAGAAGGCGCAAUGAAAGUGAAGGCACGGCCGCCGUGCUGAGGUGAGAGCCGCAAGGCGCAUCAUCGACCGAUCCCAUCCGAGCCGCUCGCGGCGCGGCGGGAUUCGAGUGAGAGCGUACCUGUUGCGACCCGAAAGAUGGUGAACUAUGCCUGAAUAGGGUGAAGCCAGAGGAAACUCUGGUGGAGGUCCCGUAGCGAUUCUGACGUGCAAAUCGAUCGUCCAAACUUUGGGUAUAGGGGCGAAAGACUAAUCGAAC
rnacentral:rRNA from 1 species